rnacentral:lncRNA from 1 species
GAGUAGCAAAGUAACCACCUGUCCCUGUUUCUUGGGUCAGUCUGCCCUCAUUUAGAGUCAGAAGAUCACUGUCUUUGAUGUCCGAGUGUGGAGAAACUGAAUAGCACAGGAAGCAAGCCUGGGGCCCCACCCCUGUCUGGCCCAGAAGCACUGCUCUCCUGAGUCUCUGUCCCUAUCUGGAGCCCUGCCCUAGACUGACCUGCCUUUCUGCAGCUGACACAGGUGAAUUCAUGAAGACCGGGAAGGGCUCCUAAUAUUUCCAUCUGAAGCGGGAUCUCUGAAAUUUCAUAGACAUGCGGUCACGCACACAUCUUUCCAAGGUCUCAGAAGCACAACAGCUAUUCACAGCUUCUCUGAGAACAGACAAGGGGCUUGCAGGUACAUCUGGCACAGGAGGGUCAAGGUGGCCAGCACGCACAUGGAGAUGCACAGCUAACACUGGGGAAAACCAGACUGGAAUAAUUCUCUGAGCCUUCUCCUUACAGGCAGCAGUCAAAGCAAUGGGAGUGAAUGCAAUUGAUGAGAAAAAAUAAUGAAGAACCAGAGAGGAGGAAAGGAAAGGGGGUAAAGGAAUCAUCUUGUAGAAAACUCAUAGCUAAGGGUCAAGAAGGAGAAGGUUAAGCAGGGGAGUGAUCAAGAGGUUGGUUGAUAGCUCUGCUCUGUAGACCUUUAAUUUGUUUGGAACUUGGUGCCACCCUGCCAUCGUAGCUGGCUUGCUAAUGUUCCAAAUAACCUCCAGCUUGCUUGUCUCUACUUUUCUGGACAUUAUGAUGCCCAAGUAACAGAAUACUGUUGCUGAGAAAGAUCUUUUACAAAAUCUCUGUUAUACAAUUAGAGCUUGUUCAUUUUAGGUGUUUUUUUUUUUUUAAAUCAGACCAUAGUUCUGCAUUAUGAGUCUUUCAGAUCUCUGUAAAUAGCAUUUGUCUUCCUGGCUGAGGAUCUCAAAGACAUUCAACAAUAUUUGAAUCUUAGGCUGGAGGACAUUUUCGUAUUCUUCAGUCAGGAAUAGCACACUUCCUUUCAUGAAUAGCAGCUUUUAGGGAUUAUAUCAUGAGGUACAAAUAAAGAGGCCCUCACCUGGUAAAUAAUCCAUCAUGUAUGCAUUGUGUACAGAACACAAUGACUCUUGACCUCAGCCUGGCUUCCUGUGUAGAAGAGUAUGGUAGAACCUGAGCAGAGAGAGGGACGGAGAGAAAGAACCCCAGCUCAGAUCAUACGCAUGAUUCAGACUGCAAAGCAGGACUGCUUCAUGGCAUGUGGCAUCAGUUGCACCAGGCCCAUGCUGGGCUAAUGCCCCACUGGUGAGUUUUGAAAUUCUUAAUACUUUUUGAACAAGAAGCCCUGAAUUUUUAUUUUCACUGGGCACUGCAUAUGAUCUAGCCAGUCCUGCUGCAGAGCUUAACAUAUGUCUGAAUAAUAACAGAAGAGGUCAAUGGGGUCUCUCUUGGAAAUAAUGUUUGAAGUGGCUGUAUAGGUCCUGCAAGCUGGGACUGCAGGAUGUGGUCCCACGGGCUUCCCCGACGAUGGCUAACUGAGGCCAGCCUGGGAGGAGCAAGUGCUCUGCAGACCGUGGCGUUGGGAGCUUUACCUUUGAGGAUAGUGUCUGGGCAACAGCUGCUCACCCUGCAUGGCCAAAGAAUUUAGCUGCAAAAAUCUACUUUGGAACUCCCUAAUUAAACUAAUGAAGUCAGAGCAUUUUAAUCUGUUCUUGGUGCAGCCCUAUGUCUAAUCCCAGAAUAAAUAGAUAAUUGUGACUUUGUGGCAUAUGUGUGCUGAG